rnacentral:tRNA from 1 species
GUUAAUGUAGCUUAAUAUGCCAAAGCAAGGCACUGAAAAUGCCUAGAUGAGUUACAAAACUCCAUAAACA